ACGACCUUACUUGAACAGGAUCUGUUCUAUAGGCUCGUACCACUGUAUCCUUGAGUUCUAAGGAGACAGAAAGCCAAGUCUGGUUGAUGAGGCAUGGCCAUUGGACCAGAGCGUGAUUAACAGCUCCCACAGCCCACGGGUUAUGGUGCCGUAGAUGAUCGUUCUCAGUCCCAAAGUCUAAUGGCUGUCUGACAGACU
rnacentral:snoRNA from 1 species